AUUGAACGCUGGCGGCAGGCCUAACACAUGCAAGUCGAGCGAGAGGCGGGCGGGUGAGUAAUGUCUAGGAAACUGCCUGAUGUAGGGGGGUAACUACUGUAAACGGUAGCUAAUACCCCAUACCAUCAGAUGUGCCCAGAUGGGAUUAGCUAGUAGGGGGGGUAACGGCUCACCUAGGCGACGAUCCCUAGCUGGUCUGAGAGGAUGAGCAGCCACACUGGAACUGAGACACGGCCCAGACUCCUACGGGAGGCAGCAGUGGGGAAUAUUGCACAAUGGGCGCAAGCCUGAUGCAGCCAUGCCGCGUGUGUGAAGAAGGCCUUCGGGUUGUAAAGCACUUUCAGCGGGGAGGCGUUACCCGCAGAAGAAGCACCGGCUAACUCCGUGCCAGCCGCCGCGGUAAUUC
rnacentral:rRNA from 1 species